rnacentral:misc_RNA from 1 species
GAUGAAGAACGCAGCGAAAUGCGAUACGUAAUGUGAAUUGCAGAAUUCAGUGAAUCAUCGAAUCUUUGAACGCACAUUGCGCCCCUUGGUAUUCCGGGGGGCAUGCCUGUUCGAGCGUCAUUAUAACCCCUCAAGCUCAGCUUGGUGUUGGGGCCUGCCAACUGGCAGCCCUUAAAAUCAGUGGCGGCGCCAUCUGGCUCUAAGCGUAGUAAUUUCUCUCGCUAUAGGGUCCCGGUGGAUGCUGGCCAACAACCCCCAAUUUUCUAUGGUUGACCUCGGAUCAGGUAGGGAUACCCGCUGAACUUAAGCAUAUCAAUAAGCGGAGGA